AAACUCCUGAGCUCAAGCGAUCCUCCCAUCUCAGCCUCCCAAAGCACUAGGACAACCAGCAUGAGCCACUGUGCCCAACCCCUAUUCUAAGUUUAAAGGACAAGCAGGACUUUUUCUCAAGUCCCAGAGUAGCGCACCCCAGUCCCAACACCAGGACUGAGCGUGCACCCCACUUCUAGCAUCAGGACUGAGCGUGCUCUGACCUGUUUCCCUGAGCUGAGGAAGGGGCCGAAGAGCUGAGAUAACUCCCAAGAAAUUUCCAGGGAGGGAUUUUCUGGGGCCAAGUCCUGGCCUGGCCCGGCCGGGCCUGUGUGAGCUCAGGGUCCUGCAGCCCCGGUGACUGGCCAUCAAUGCCCAAGCUGCAGGGACUCUCGAGGAAGUCCGAAAGACGCCACUGCCUCUCUACAGGCUGUUCUCAGGUGGCCAGGAGGACUGCAUCGCAGAGGCGGCGGGCAGUGCCUGGGGACCAGCUUCCUGCCUCUGGCUCUGACUCAGACCUGGUGGCCUUGCCCAGCCCAGCCCCACCCUCUCACUAAAUCAAAGCCAUGCCCUUCAGAUGUGGUUUCCCAAGCCUCCCUUGGUUUCAUGACUGCGAGGGACCUUCUGCAGCCACCUGGGCUGAGUCUAUAAAGAAAUAUGCACAAGCAGCAUCAUUCAGCAGGAUUUCAGACCAGAAAGAACCCUCCCGUCAGAGACUGGUGGCCAUACAAGGGUGCGCUGUGAAGCUUUCGAGACAGCAGACAGCCGGAGUCGUGAUCAGGGUGGCCAGGAAGGGAAACAACACGGUAGCAACCAGAGUGCCCUCCCAUGUGGAUUCCUUUGGUGACGAAUAAGCCAGUUGGUGUGCAGGGUGUUCACUGCAAGGCCCAGACAGGACUACAAGAGACCAGGACUGUCCUCAGUAUGUGAUCUCUCUCUCCUCUGGCGUCAGCUCUACCCAGGAACGGAUGUGAAGGCUGAAGCCCAGGCAAGGGCUCAUAGUGUGGGGACCGUGCAGCUGGAUUCAUGUCCAGUGGAAUUUGACACCAUGGCCGUCAUCAUCAUGUUUUGCCGUCAUCAGCACAGACCUCUGAGCAGAAAUGCCAGAACAAUGUGGGGCCACCCUGGAGAUUUAUUUUAUUUAUUUUUUAAAUUAAAUUAAAAUUGUUUUUAAGAGACGGGGUCUUGCUAUGUUGCACAGGUUGAUCUUGAACUUCUGGGCUCAAGCAAUCCUCCUGUCUUGGCCUCAGAGUGUUGGGAUUACAGACCUAAGCCACCGCGCCCGGCCUGGAGAUGUAUUUUAAACUGACAUCUUGGGAGAAAUAAAAGCCUUCCUUUUCCCUGUGUGUCGGUAGCGUAAGUAGUGAACUGGGAAGGAUUUCUCGGGGCCCCUGCCCUGAGCUCCUAGACCUUCUCUCCCACGCCAUGUUACACAACAAAAUCUGACUCUGAAAGAUCAAUUGGGUCCAGCUUGGGGUCUGAUGGGCAGACGGGCUUAAGCAAAGCCCCCACUUGACUUCAAGAGAGGAGCUUGGGGCCCACAUAGACAUCGAGGCCUGCACAACGUAGCUAAUUGGCCCUAACAUUUUUCUUUCUUGAAUUUUAAAUCCUUUUAGCAACAGAUUAUACAACAAAGGCUGAACUCAUUGGGGCCGUCAUUAGGCUGGCGGAAAACGCUGGCUUGGCUGUUCCUUGGCGAAUCUCCUUACCGGGUUAUUUAGAGGUGCCGUGUGUCUCUCUUGGGGACAUGCACACAAAUGUAAAGAAUGUCUCUGAGCCACAAUGACAUUUUCAUUAGCCGUGGCUCACAGAGGAGCCUUUCCUGGCAGUUCCAAUCCGGAAGGUUCUUAUCCUGCUCUCUGGCUUUCUUGCUCUGGGUGAAAGGCAGGCACCGUAAUCCAAGCCAAACACCCCGACCUUUGACCCCCACAUGGUGCUUGCUGUCAGGGUGGGGGUUCUUCUGGGGUGCAUGUCUGAGGCCUGACUGGGCUGCACACUGUCCCAGAGUGCCCUGCCUUUGGCCAGGACAAUUCACCUCAGCCCCUUUUGUCCCAACAGCUUUUGAUCUUGCCUGCCUGUCACCCAGGGAAAGAGCCUGCCUAGGCCCUGUCCCACACCUGCCUGCAAACUGACAGCCAUGGCUCCCCCAGCCCCACUGCAGCAGCCUUAACCCUUUCUCUGCCUGACCUGCAGGGCCUGCACCUACCUGUCUCCAGGGUGCUGGGGCCUCAGGCUUUGGCCAAACCAGAACAGGACUAGAAAAGAAUUCUUCUGAGGGUCCAAGGCCUCGUCCUACCGCCCCUACUGUGAGUGUGGGACUGACAAAGGAGUUUGGAGAGCAUGAGUCCCCUAGAAUGGAGCUCCCAGGAAAAGCCAAAGAGAAAGCCCCAGGCCACUGGGCCUGGACUUCGCCCCACGGCAAGGUCCCCGCCCACUGGCUAGGCAGGUGCUUUUGUGAAACUGACAUUUUCUCAGCUGCACCUCUACCGCUGCUGAUGAGCUUUUCAAUACACUCUUUCUUGUAUUGAGACAGAGCCAUGUUUUCAUAACUUGGCACUACAGCAAAGAAAGACAUGGGGUCCUUGCUGCUCAGUCCUGGUGCCCGGCCCAGUGUCUGGGGUGCCCACCUUGCCCAGCGUGUGCUGGGCAUGCAGGGGCACUUCCCUAGGGCCAAAACCUGGGAGCUUUCCUCCAGGCCAAGACGCAAGUCUCUUUGUUUUUACGGUAGCUUUGUUGAAAUGUAAUUUACAUACCAUGAAAUUCACCCGUUGAAGGCAUGCAAUUUAGAAGGUUUUAUUCAUAGAGUUGUAUGAAUUCUCUAUUUCCCAAGGCCAUUUUUUUAAAUAUAAG
rnacentral:lncRNA from 10 species